CCGGCUCUUGCCUGGUGGCAUUUCUCGCUGGGGCCCCCAAAUGUUCUACUUGAGUGAGUUAGAGAAAAUGCCACACUUUGAGAUGAAUUAAGAGUCUGUUUAUUU
rnacentral:pre_miRNA from 13 species